GAGUGGGCGCGGGGCGUGGGGGACGUGGCGGCGGGGGCCGAGGGGGCGCCCAAGGCGGUGGGCGCCGGACCCCGCCUCCCAGACCUGCCUCCCAAUUUUCGGUGAGUGGUGUAGCCCUGGGCGGCGUGCAAAGUGUGCGACGGCGGCGCUUACCCCUGCUGCGCGCCUCCUUACCUCCAGCUUCCCGGUUAGCGCGCGCGGGGACCGCCACCCACCCCUCCCUCCCGGCGGCGCGUGCCCGGCAGUCGGUCGUCCGAUGAGAGGUGUUAUGUGAGCGCGAAAAACGAGCAUCGCAAGAGCAAGCAGGCGCCGGCGACUCGAGAGCCGAGCGGUGGUGGCCGGGGCCGCGCGGUCUGCGCCCCCGGAGUCCUCCUGGGCGGGACAGGUGGCGGGCCAGGGCGUCCCGGUUAUACGAGGCCGGGCCGGGGCGCCGCGGGGGGAUGCUCUGGAACAGACGGAAAAGUAGUUUAUUGAACACGAAUUUGUUUGAGAAUUGUUUAAAGACUUUCAAGAGUCCCACCCCAGCCCUGUCCCAUAUGAGGAUAGGGUGAAGAGCAGUGACACCAAGUUCUCAACGACUCGGCCGCGGCUCACUUUUCCUGGGACCUUGGUUGAGCCUCCCGGUUGAGCCCUGCGCGUGUCUGCUUGGGUACAAUUCAUUCAUUCAGUCAAUAAAAGUUUGGUCCGUGCGGCCCACCUUGGGCCCAGACACUGUUAACCAUUCAACGGGACUGCUGCAAUCCCCCGCUUCUCCUCAGUUUGCUCAACUCAAAGUAAGAAAAGUUGUGACAGAUGAAGAUGUCAGCUAUUAUUGUUCUUGGCCCCAUCCAGUACACCUCUACCCUCCUUCUACAAGGCCUCACUUUAUGGACCUGAAAGACAGCGGAGGGCAAUUCAAAGCCAGCAGAGAACACUUGGAAUUAAGAACAGGAAGCGAAAUCUUCACGCCAGACCCUCAUGAUCUGCAUCUGCUACCUCGCCUGACUGCGGGUCUCAGACUCGCUCGAACUCUGCAGAAAAGUUGCUGUGCUUGCCCUUUCCUCCUCACAUCCAAAUAAGCCAGGUCUUGAGCACACUCUGGAUAUGGCCUCUCCUUCUUACACAAAAAUACACCUUCUUUCGACAAAAACUCAAAGGAACUACCGUUCGUCUAAACAAAAGCCGAUAAAAAUACUGACCCUAUAGACGGGAAUGUUCUCCUAAGCAAAUUCGACAGUAAGGCUGUUUGAAAAGAUCAUGACACAAUCAUUCACCAACUAGAUUAGAAACUACCUAAAGACGGGGCCCAAGUUUUAUACCUUUAUGUAUUAAAUAAAAACCUGUUGGUUGAA